UGCUCUUACACUGGCUGAUGCUAUUAGUGAUCUACCACCGGUGACAAAUUAUGAAAAAAUUGAUGUAAGGAAUUAUAAUGAUGCUGGUCCUAAGACAGAUUUUCAAAAAUAUAUUGCGUUGAAAAGAUCUGAGACACUACUACCCGUAACUGGUGGAGAUUCGUCGCACAAGUUAUUCGAUCACCAGCCAUUACAGCUGAGCACUAACGACUUGGAAAGAAUCUCAUAUAUACCAAAAA